rnacentral:rRNA from 1 species
AUUGAACGCUGGCGGCAGGCCUAACACAUGCAAGUCGAACGGUAGCACAGAGAGCUUGCUCUCGGGUGACGAGUGGCGGACGGGUGAGUAACGUCUGGGAAACUGCCCGAUGGAGGGGGAUAACUACUGGAAACGGUAGCUAAUACCGCAUAACGUCGCAAGACCAAAGUGGGGGACCUUCGGGCCUCACACCAUCGGAUGUGCCCAGAUGGGAUUAGCUAGUAGGUGGGGUAAUGGCUCACCUAGGCGACGAUCCCUAGCUGGUCGGAGAGGAUGAACAGCCACCCGGGAACUGAGACACGGGCCAGCCUCCGACGGGAGGCAUCAGUGGGUAAUAUUGCACAAUGGGCGCAAGCCUGAUGCAGCCAUGCCGCGUGUAUGAAGAAGGCCUUCGGGUUGUAAAGUACUUUCAGCGGGGAGGAAGGCGGUGAAGUUAAUAGCUUCACCGAUUGACGUUACCCGCAGAAGAAGCACCGGCUAACUCCGUGCCAGCAGCCGCCGUAACAC